GCAGCCGCGGUUAAACCAAGAUGAUCAAAUUAUAUAACUUCGGUAAAAAAACAGUUAAAUUAAAUUUAUGUUUAUUAAACUUCUAUAGAAAAGUAAAAUUUAAUCAUAGACAGGAAAUUCAACUUAAGCUCAGAUAUUGAAGCUGUGAAAGCCUCGAGGGAAACUGGGAUUAGAUACCCCAUUAUUCUUGGAUGUAAAUUAAUUCUUAUUUACCAGAGUACUAUGAAUUAAAUAUUUAAAACUUAAAGGGCUUGGCGGUGUUUUAGACCCCUCAGGGGAACCUGUCUCGUAAUCGACAGUCCACGAUAAACCUAACCCUUUUUUGUAUAUCAGCUUGUAUACCGUCGUCGUCAGGUAACUUUUUAGAAGAAAGAAGUUAGCAAAAAAAUGAAAUAAAUUUUCACGUCAGAUCAAGGUGCAGCUAAUAAAAGGGGGAGGAUGGGUUACAAUUACAAAAUUGUAAUAACGAAAAGUUCUUUGAAAUAAGAAUAGGAAGGAGGACUUGAAAGUAAGAUAAAAUAUAUAAAUGUUCUGAAUAAGGCUCUGAAACGUGCACACAUCGCCC
rnacentral:rRNA from 1 species